GGAUUCCCCUAGUAACUGCGAGUGAAGCGGGAAAAGCUCAAAUUUCGAAUCUGGCGGGUUCCUGUAACCCGUCCGAGUUGUAAUCUAGAGAAGCGUUUUCCGUGCUGGCCCGUGUACAAGUCUCCUGGAAGGGAGCGUCAUAGAGGGUGAGAAUCCCGUCUUUGACACGGACCACCAGCGCUGUGUGAUGCGCUCUCGACGAGUCGAGUUGUUUGGGAAUGCAGCUCAAAACGGGUGGUAAACUCCAUCUAAAGCUAAAUACGGGCGAGAGACCGAUAGCGAACAAGUACCGUGAGGGAAAGAUGAAAAGAACUUUGGAAAGAGAGUGAAACAGUAUGUGAAAUUGCUGAAAGGGAAACGCUCGAUGUCAGUCACAUCUGCUGGGGAUCAACCUUGCUCUUUCGCUCGGUGUAUUUCCUGGUUGAUGGGUCAGCAUCAGUUUUGAUCAUCGUACAAGGGCCAGGGGAAAGUGGCACCCUUCUGGGUGUGUUAUAGCCCCUUCGGUCGUAUGCGGUGGUCAGGACUGAGGAACUCAGCACGGGGGCUCCCUUGUGCUUGGGAUGCUGGCAUAAUGGCCUUGAGCGACCCGUCUUGAAACACGGACCAAGGAGUCUAACAUGCCUGCGAGUGUUCGGGUGCCAAACCCGAGCGCGAAAUGAAANGUGAAAGUCGAGACCUCUGUCAUGGAGGGCAUCGACGCCCGGACCCCUCGGUCUCUCGAGACCAAGGAUCUGCGGUCGAGCAUGCAUGUUGGGACCCGAAAGAUGGUGAACUAUGCCUGAAUAGGGCGAAGCCAGAGGAAACUCUGGUGGAGGCUCGUAGCGAUUCUGACGUGCAAAUCGAUCGUCGAAUUUGGGCAUAGGGGCGAAAGACU
rnacentral:rRNA from 1 species